rnacentral:rRNA from 1 species
AGUGGCGACCGGGUGAGUACACGUGACUAACCUACCUUCAGGUGGGGGAUAACCUCGGGAAACCGGGGCUAAUACCGCAUAACAUCGCUGAAAUCAAAGGAGCGCAGGAAGAGGGAGUCGCGGCUGAUUAGCUAGUUGGUGAGGUAACGGCCCACCAAGGCAAUGAUCAGUAGCCGGCCUGAGAGGGCGCACGGCCACACUGGAACUGAAACACGGUCCAGACUCCUACGGGAGGCAGCAGCGGGGAAUUUUGCGCAAUGGGGGAAACCCUGACGCAGCAACGCCGCGUGGAGGAUGAAGUCCCUUGGGACGUAAACUCCUUUCGACCGGGACGAUUGACGGUACCGGUGGAAGAAGCCCCGGCUAACUCCGUGCCAGCAGCCGCGGUAAUACGGGGGG